rnacentral:rRNA from 1 species
AACUUUCAACAACGGAUCUCUUGGCUCUCGCAUCGAUGAAGAACGCAGCGAAAUGCGAUAAGUAAUGUGAAUUGCAGAAUUCAGUGAAUCAUCGAAUCUUUGAACGCACCUUGCGCCCCUUGGUAUUCCGAGGGGCAUGCCUGUUUGAGUAUCAUG